rnacentral:rRNA from 1 species
UGCCUCAGUAACGGCGAGUGAAGCGGCAAAAGCUCAAAUUUGAAAUCCCCCGGGAAUUGUAAUUUGAAGAGAUUUGGGUCCGGCCGGCNGGGGUUAAGUCCACUGGAAAGUGGCGCCACAGAGGGUGACAGCCCCGUGAACCCCUUUAACGCCCUCAUCCCAGAUCUCCAAGAGUCGAGUUGUUUGGGAAUGCAGCUCUAAGUGGGUGGUAAAUUCCAUCUAAAGCUAAAUACCGGCGAGAGACCGAUAGCGAACAAGUACAGUGAUGGAAAGAUGAAAAGCACUUUGAAAAGAGAGUGAAAAAGUACGUGAAAUUGUUGAAAGGGAAGGGCUUGCAAGCAGACACUUAACUGGGCCAGCAUCGGGGCGGCGGGNANCAAAACCACCGGGGAAUGUACCUUUCGAGGAUUAUAACCCCGG